CUUAAGGAAGCGCUUUGUCCACGUGGACAGAAAACGCUUCCUUGAGGGCGUACUUUGUCUCCACGUGGACAAAGCACUUCAUUGAGG
rfam:Gossypium raimondii chromosome 1, whole genome shotgun sequence.